AAUUUAUCGUCAGUGACUUUGAGUUUGUCAAGUGCUCGAACUAACGAACGGCCAAUUUCCACUGCGCCAUUUUGUUGGAAAUUUAGCGGUAGAUUUGGACAGAAGAUUUUUCAACGUGUUUUAACGAGACUGGAUGUAUUCCCCCAUUACUUCGUCUCAACAGCCAUAAAGAUUGACCACUUCAAAGAUGAUCAAGAACUCUGAAAAAGAUGUUAGAUGUACCCACCACCCAGGCCAAACCUUCAAUAUGUCACGGAUGAUCACACCAGUCACAGGAACCACACUCACCAGAUUCCGUGACCCAACACCACCUUGGCAGCUCAGACCGGCCUGAUUUUCAGAGCAGCAAGCUGCCCACAGGCCCAGCCAUGUACCUCCAGACACUCUUCUCCAAUCAAUAGAAGUUCUACAUGUACUCUCUUGAAACCUGCUGUUGCCACUUCAGCAAGCUGCCCAGUGAACUACCAGCUACUGAAAAUCUACAUUGGAUCUGAUGAGCCAUCCAGCAACACCGAUGUCACUUCAAAGACACUCCCCUUUACAAGUUUGAUCUCGGCUGACUUCAUGGAAUUCUUGAGCUACACCAUCACCAUCAGGACUCACAUGCACAAAUUCACUUCCUACAAAACAAUUAUCCGAAGUCUUCAACUCUCCAUCUAUCUGUGCCAUGAGAUGUUUUCGUUUUUCGCUUGGCACACAAAGGACUUCAGCUACUGCCUAAAGAACCUUGGUUUUCUCCACAUGGACUGAGACGAACCUUACACUUGAGCCAUGUGCCUUCCGCAGUCACACCAAAUGUUUGAAAACCUGCUAAGAAUUAUUGACAGGAGAGAUACAUGAACAUGAACAAUUUAUACAUCAGAGGUCAUGUCACCAUCAGACCCGUCAUGAGAUCACAUCUCAGCUCUGAACUGAUCGGCAGAGGACUUCAAUGAAGAGCUGUCCUCUGCCAUCCUCAAAAACACUGGAUGAUUCACAUCGACUGUUGCAAUCUGUCAGAGACUUUUGGAAGAGAACUCUAAGUUUGAAAUUGAAACCGACCUCUUUUGAAACAGAACUCUUUCGAAACGGAACUCUUUUGAAACAGAAUUCUUUUGAAGCGGAACUCUUUUGAAACGGAACUCUCUUGAAACGGAACUCUUUGGAAACGGAACUCUCUUGAAACGGAACUCUCUUGAAACGGAACUCUCUUGAAACGGAACUCUCUUGAAACGGAACUCUUUGGAAACGGAACUCUUUGGAAACGGAACCCUGGAACUCUUUGGAAACGGAACUCUUUGGAAACGGAACUGUUUUGAAACGGAACUUUUUUGAAACGGAACUCUCUUGAAACCGGACCCUCUUGAAAAGGAUCGCUUUUGAAAGAAGAGUUUAUAUUGAAGAAGUAGAGGUCUCUCUUUCCCCAAGGUCACUGCAGGUCAUUAGAGGUUACCUCUGUGACCCUGUAUGCAGAAUGGGUUGCCAAUCUUCAAAGUCUUGAGUCUUGAAAAAGCAGACACAAAAAUCUUUGAUCACAGUAUUUGAUGAUGAAUAAGUUAUCACCUUGUGCAACAGCUUUGAACAAGUUCUCGAAAAUGUUGUCUCCAAAAGAAUGUUAUCCACAAUCCGUCAACACUAACUAUUGUUUCUUUGUGGAUCCACAAUUGAUGCCAUUGGUUUAGACAAAUUGAACCAAACCAGCACCAAAUUGAACCAAAUCACGUAAAAAUGGAGGAGAGACCUCUACACACUUGCACGUAACCAGCUUCUCUGUGCGAACUUCUUCAGGCACUGAAUAGAUUUUUCCUUAAAUCGAUUUCACUGACUUUAUUCAGUGGCCCAAAUUACUUGCAUAAACCUGCAACUGUUCACAGGACUUUAGUCACAGCGCUGCAUUUCAUUUUCCUAAUUUCUUGUUCUUCCAAGUGCAUUUGCACAAAAAACAGAAAUGUCAUUCUGUUUAGAGACAGAUUCACUCAACAUUUACUCAAGCGAAGGGCUGUUCAAUAAUUGCAGAAAGAUAUUCCCUCAAAUAUUUUGAUGAUGCAACUUUCAGUGCUUAAAAUAGAGAGAGCUAGUUACGUUAAAUUGCUAUUUUAAACUGAAAUUUUUCUUAAUGGCAUUGCCUGAUUGGUAAUAGCUGGGUGCAAGAUUGGUUUUCCAGGAACAAAUUUGUUAAAAACUCUGUCAACUUACAAUGCUAUCCUUCUUCUUUGAACUAAAUGUUUCCAGUUACCAAAUUCAGCCCAAAAUCUCUCAUUUGGUGAAAAUGAAUAGCUUUUUGAGACAUCCAAAUUUGUAAAUUCCUUACAAAUCUACAUCGAUCAAAUGAAAAACAUUAUUUGCUUUUAAAUUUGAGAAACGGCUUGUAAAAAAAAAAAAAAAUGGAAAAUGAUACACUUUUAAAGCUAUCAUAAGUUUAGCUGUCAAUUACCACUCCUACCAAUCUUGCAGCCAGCUUUUGUUUUCAAGUAUAGUCAGCACUGGCACAGUUUUUUGAAACAAAAUUUUGAAAUCGAAACAUUCCAUAGGAUUUUGGUUUUAGUCACAUAUUUUCCAAAAUGAACAAGUCUUUCAUCCCUAAUUUAUAUUUCAAAGUUAAAACAUUUGCAAAAAUGCUAUUCAAAUUUUUUGCGUGAAAUAACAAUUUACCUGGUGUUACUGUGAACACACCUCUUAAUUAGUUCAUGUUUAAUACCUCGAAAAUUGGAAUCUUUUGAAGUUCAUUUACUAAGCAAUAUCGACAAAGAAAACCAAACAGAUAUGAGUCUGAACCACAUUCCGAAUGCAAAUUGGAAAAAAAUCCUCGAACUCAAAAGAAAAGAACCAAAGUUUUAGUUCCAGUGCUGGCUAUCCACGUACAUGUAAAUUCUUUUAUGAUAAUUUGUUGAGUAACCCAUCUAUACUUGACAUUUGACCAACAGGCAAUGUUCUGAUACACUUGAGCCCAACGCAUGCAAGUCCCCCCGGGGCGUGCACGUGUGGUGUUCCCCGCCCGCAGAUGCCGGCUCGUCUGGUUGGUCGUCCCUAUCUGCAUUGACGAUUGGUCUUUUGUUCAAGGUGUGUGCUAGCUUCCUGAUCUUGUGGUCUGGGUGAUCGUGGAUGACUUGGUCGACUUCAACAUGGUAAGGAUCCUUUUGAACUUUGACAAUUAGUUUGCCUUUCUGCAAAGGAGAUGUUGUUUUGGCCGUUUCUUACCGAGUGUUGCUGUGGAAAUUAUGUACCAUCUAUCACUCUGGAGAUUGCAAAUCUAGAGAUCAAUCGAGCAUCUACUCUUGAUGUCUUACUUGCAUUUCGUUAGUUCCAUGGCAUCAUGUUGAUCCAAAUGAUCUGCUAACAAAUGGAUACUGUUGUUGGUACCUCUGAUGUUCUUCAAUGUGAUAGGAUUUUUGGACAGGUGUUUCAGCCGCUAUUUAUUUGAAUAACUUCCAUGGUAUAACUCUGAAAUCUCAUUGCCUUUUAUUGUGUUGACAUGUUCAUUCAGUUCUCUCAUAGAGUGUGGUCAAAUCUCAGACAUGCACAGAUAAACAUCAUGUGGAAAUCAUCUGAUAAGGAAAUCAAUCCAAAUUUAAUGAAAUCAUGCCAAUUAAAAGUAAAAAUCAAAAUUAAAAAUUGCGCAAGUCAUAAAUAAAAUGUAAAUUUGCUCGUAAAUCAGCAUCUAAUGCAUAACUAACUCUGGUUUUUACCAAAAGAAAAAUAAAACUUUAAAAAAAUGAAAUGAAGUCCUGAAUUCAAAGCAACUUAAAUUAAUUUUCAAAAAUCACUUUGAUCUUCAGAAAACAAAGCAGAAAAAAAUAUCUUGAAUGGGCCAGUGCCAUCAUUUUUAUCAUCAGAAAAGCUGUAAAAAACUAAAACUGAAAUGAAAGUUUGAAGUUGAGAAAAAGGAUAGAAGGCCAACUCUUAAAACUGUAGGGGAGAAGUCCUGGUGUGCAGAGGGGGAGAACCAUGCUGCUUCCUGGCCAGAUGGAAGAUGUGGUGGACAAAAAAGGCCCUCUGCAUCCUAAAGACAGAAGCUGUGGUGUGUCAGGCACAGGGAACCAGUCCUGCCAGAUGGAUCCAUGGUAAGUUUAAUUGAAGUUUUCUAGAAUGAAUUCAUGCACUAUGUACAUCCUCAUUGCUUGCUAAACCUAAUGGUAAAAUGUGUAUCUCAUGGCUAGGAGUAAACGCUAUCUGUCUACAUUACAAGAAAACAGUAUUGUGCAUUAUAGUCUUCAAUCUGUGGCAAUACCAAUUAGCGUUAAUCUGACACACAGAAGUGAAAGUUAAGAGUAAUGUGGGUCCGUUAUUUGUCAUUCAGAAUUAAAAUUUGAUCAAGGCAAUUGAUCAAAUGAAUCCUACAGUAAUACAGAGAUGCAACCAGUGCACUGGUGUGCAAACAUCUCACUCACACUUUAUGGACUGGACACUCACUGCAAGUACUCAAAGUGCUGCUACCCAAAUCAUGGUCGAAUGUCGUGACCUCUGCACUCCAAUCCUAUGAUUGGAUAAAACCUUGAGCUUAAGCAGUCACUGCAGCCUCCUAUAGAUUCAUCACCUACCUGAUAGGUGGUUGCAUGGGGGAAUCCCCUGCCAAGUCUCUGUUUAACAGGACCCUUUUGUGAUCAUAAAUUUGUGAUCUGAUAUUUCAAAUGCAUUCAUUUGCCAGCAGUGAAACCCUAGCAUCCAUGUGUGUUGUGAGCAAUCCUAAAUUGCAAUUCACUUUUAGUGAAGUCUAAACUCUAGGUAGCAAAAGCAGUCUUUCUGUUUACAACAGAAAGUUGAGUUAUUGAUCUAGUUUUCUAGAUUCAAGCGAGAAACUUUUUAUGCAAAGUUCCCAUUAGUAAUUUGAGCAGCAUAGUUUUGCUGCGUUCUUUCAGUGUGUUACUGAAACAUUCAUUUUCAUAUGUAAAAAGUUGAAUAUUACUGCCAAGGUGCAGUUUCAAGUGAGAUAUGUGCACAGUUCUCAUAAAGAAGCCAACACAAAUGUCAUUGCCUUCUACCAACCAAAAAAUCCAAACUGUUUCUCUUUUGUAUACAAAGAAAUAGCCUUUUACAAAAACAAAAAAAGACAUUCAACUUUGAAAGUGAUCUUGAGAGUCCUGAAAGUUCUUCACCUUAGCUCUAAAUGUUCAGAUCGUCAAUAUUAUUUCAGUUGAUGUAUGUGGACAUUUGUCCCCUGCCUUGUGGAAGAAAAAAAUGUAAAUAUAGCAGCUGAAAACUCAGUUCAAAGAGAAGUUCACCUGGACUUCAUCUGACUAGUCUCACCAAUUAAGUUAGUACAUACUCUGAAAUUGAGCAUACAUUUUGUACAUGUCAAUAUUCAUGUACAACAUGGCCUCAGACAGCUAUAACUGAAUCUUAAUCAGAUGUCGGACCAUUUGAUUAUUUCCUGCUAAGAAGUCAAAUCGAUGAGUAGAUUUUACAAAACUAAAAAAGGUUUGCUCUGAGUUGGACGAGUUUGGUUUCAUUUCUCAUGCAACCAAAUCUGCAAACUGUUCACAAAUCCUUCAAAGAUUGCUGAAACCGAAAGUGAUAUGCAAACAAUUGUUUUGUAUUGCCAGCAAAAGGAAUGCAAUUGUUCUUUCUGGUAUGACUCACAACUUUACAAAGUGAAAAUUGCCAAGCCAUUGAUUGUAGCAAGAUGGCUGUCUUAAGUACUGCAAGUAAGAACGAUUGUGAAAGUAACUUCUAACACAGUUUCCAAAAGCAUUUGUUUACAAACUAUGAUAACCUGAUUCAGUUUUGACCCCAGCCAGACCGGCAAUGUUAGUAAUAUUGCAUGUUGGCAUGACGGUGUAACCGUUGUGUUUCAUUUUGUCAAAUAAGGUGAAGAUCUUUCAGGACACAUGUUGGUAUUGCCAUAGACUGAAGACUAGCUAUGCUCCAUGCUUUAACCCUUUAGUGACCACAUUUCUCUCAGUGUGCAUUGCUCUUUGCAAAGUGCAUUUUAUGCAGCAAAUAUUGUGAGUUAAUUGUCACUUUCCAAAUUCAAACUUUCAAAUUCUCAACUUGUAUCUCAAUGACACUCUGUACCUGUAGUGUUGUAAAAUCAGAUUUUGUAACCAAUCAAUUUUCAUGUGAUGCUGAAAAAAACUCUGCUGGUUGAAAAUGUUUGUCCUGUGUGGCUACUGCGGACAAUUCAGUUCUGGUCACCUCAGGCCACUGUGGUCACUAAAGGGUUCAAAACGUCCAAGGUUCUUUAAUUAAUUAUUCAGGUCAGUUUAAGAUCAGUUUUGUCUCAAGAGGGUCGCUAAAAUGUACAUGUACAUGUAGGAUAGUUUGUUGUGUUGGGACAGUUAAUGUCUUUAAGAAUGCAGGUAUUCUUGGUGCUUUUGGUUAUUGACAGAAAUCAGUAAUUUCAAAAAUUUAUCGAAAAUGUAAACUCUAGCAAAUUUUAUUGUUUCAUGUAAACUAACCUGAAGACUGUUUCUCAGAAAAUCAUCAAAUUUUUGUGAAGAAUUAAUAGUCAAUAAAACCAGGAGGACAAAAAUCGAACAUGAAUGUGAUUAAACUCUGACAACCAGGUUAAAAUUAGGUCCUCAACAAAUUUGCAAAAUUCUAUUCUUCUAAAAAGUCAACGUUUUUUUAACAUUCAACACUUUAUAAUUAACAGAACAAAAACUACUUAGCAAAGUUGAUAAUAAGCAGGACAAGUUCUUUUCAGAACUAAUAUCUUGUAAGCAGUAGUUAUUACCACAUGGUGUUACCGCAAACCGAAACGAUACCGAUACUCCACCAUGCAAAGCCUCAAAUCUUAUAACACUUUAUGUUUCCCGUAAACAAGCCGGAAGACCUUUUCUCAGAAAAUCAUUGACUAGUUGUGCAGAGCGAAUAGUCAAUAAAACCAGGAGGACAUAAAUUGCACAUGAAUGUGAUAAAUGACAAAUCAUUGUAGCGUCAAACACUGAUAACCAGGUUAAAUUAGGUACUAAACAAAUGUGCAAAAAUUAUAACCAGAAAAAUGUUCAACUUAAACUGUAAGACACUACACCUAAACCUUUGUGAGAAACCUGCGACACUGACAGAAGUACAAAUGCCAGGCACUUUGACUUAAAUCUCAGACUUGAUUCACAUCUUAUCGUGACUAAAUCAGCGAAAGGACUAAAAUCAGGAUAUGUUAAUAACGUGAUUAAAUGAAAUCAAGUGACUCGCAUACUCGGAAAAUAUCAGUGAGCAUGUGAAAUUGAACUUAGUGCUAAAUUUUAGUAGUAUAAAUUGUCCUUAGGAAUAUCGUCAGAUACUUGUAUUCUCCAAAUAAAUUAACCUUACUUCUAGAAAAGUUUGAUAGGCAAAAGUCAUGUUUUUAUGGACAUGUUUGCAAACAGAAGAAGUUGCAAAUUUAAUUAUUUCUCUAGGGUAGAGUUAUUUAAAACUCUCAAGUCAUGAAAGUCCCCUGGAUUCCUCUGCAUAUUAAAUACACUUUAUAAUGUUAAGAGAGAGGAUGGGUUUAGCCUAAAGAAUUAGUUGUUAAACACGUGUACAUGUAGGUUGUUCAGCAAAUUGCAUAGAUGUCAAAGGUUGAAAAGUUCACAUUCUGUCUCGUAUGAAAAGGUCGUUAUAGGCAGGCCCCAGAAUAAAUCUUGAAUAAUAAAUUGGCAGUUUCGGUGAUUGGAUAUCUAGAAUAACAGAUAAUUAGGAAGAACGUUGUUUUGCAGUUCUGCAUAUCCAUUGGAGUAAGUUCAGACCGUAAAUGCAAUUUACAAAGAUAGCAAUAUGCAGUGAGGCACUGCAAUUCUGUGCCACAUAUUCAAGGUGUCAUACCUUUGUUGAAUGUUUGACUUGUAAAAUAAAGUCAGACUUUACAGGAAAGAAGGCAAAAAGAACAGUGAAAAAAAAACUGUGGAGAAAAAAAAGGCAAUUCACUACUUAAUGUUUCAAAGAAAACAGGGAAAAAAAGCUGAGAGAUAUGUAGAUACCGGUAGCCUGCACAAUGUAUACAGGCCGGCCCAUUGAAAUACACUCAUAUUGAGUUUAUACAUGUACAUGUAGACAAUGUCCCGUGUACAUGUACAGUCUCUGCGAAUGCUGCAGGUACAUGCAAAUGAUUUACAAGUAAGAAAUUGUAUGAUUGAUCUUUUUGAAACUGAAAACUAAGAUUGGAGUAAUAUGAUCCACUCCUUCAUGGUAAUGAAACCAAGAAAAUAUCUUGUACAGUAUAAAAUAAUGUACAUGUAGGUUUACACUUAAAAACGGUGAGGAAACUCAGGCUUUUUUUAACAAGGUAGGGUCUGACAAUGUCGUGUUUCAGAAUCCAUUAUCAUCUAAGAAACUGCCAUUUAUUCAUUUGUCCUGGGGCCUGCCUAGGUUUGCAUGUGAGCAUAAAUAUGCAAUAUCUGUUGUAAUGUAGGCAUUUAGUAAUAUGUUUACUCCGCAAUGCCAUGAUACACAUUUAGGUUUAGCGAGCAAAACUGAUGAGGAUGUAUGUUGUCAUUGUACAGUGCAUGAAUUAAUGAAAACUUCAAUUAAACUUGACCAUGGAUGGCGGGACAAGACUGUCCCUGUGUCAUGAUGCCACAGCUUCUGAGGAUGCUGAGGGGCAGAUUGCCACCACAUCAACAGUGGCGUAGCUAGAAUGAAGGAGGGGCCACAAGAAAACAGGAGGGGACAAAUGGAAAUCCCAGAAAUGUUCAUGUUGGGCAAACUAGAGAACAUGUCUGUAAUUUUGACCAUUUGGAUGCACAUGUUCACUAUACAUGUUCUCAGCUACAUGUAUUUUUAUACAUGUCGGCCCCAAAAGGCCGAGUACGGAAUAUUGAAAUCUUUUUGUCCAAUCGGACAGACAGCCCCCUUCCUGUAUCACAUGGAAGGCCCCUCCCAUCCCCAUUUGCUACGCCACUGCAACAUUGGCCACGGAACAGCAUGGUUCUUCAAAAAAGAUGCACGUCAACCUCCCAAAAAAAAAAAAGAGAUAGAAAUAUUACAAAAAUGUCCAAAACUCUUGAACACAAAAUCUUGUGUCACAUGUUUGUUUACAAUAUUGCAAAAAUUGUGCCAUAUUUCAAAUAAUUACAAACACAUGUAUGGCUAACGUCAGUUUUGAAAAAACUGAUUCGCUAAGAGUUUGGCCAGAAAUCUUGAAAAAAAGAAGCAUGUACUCAGUAACAAGAAAAUCAUCUGCACAUUUUUUGAAAAGUUGGUUUUCUUUUUCAAUCUAAUUAACGUUGUAGCUCUUAAAAUUCCCAAUCAAACUAUGUUGGUCAAAUUCAAAUUGUAAUAUUUGAAUUCAGUCCACUAAUUUAAAAUGAAGUUAGUUUUCUUGAAGAUCGAUGAUGGCACAAUGAAAAGUUACUUGGACCACUUACUCUUUCCUAAGAGAAAAAUCUAGUAAGAUACCGACCGGUAUUUGCUCAUUUAAAAUAAAGACUUCAUACAAAUGUCGGAACUUAGUACAUCUCAAAGUGUGUGUAUACUUGGCAAAAUGGCCAAAAGUACAAUAUUUAUCCAAAAAACUCAGUUUGAACAAAUCAAGUUACUGCAGUGAACUGUUGCUUUGAAUUUGGACUAGUUUGACUAAAAUAUGUUUGAAAUUUUGCAAUAAUUCCCACUUCCUAAUUAGAAAAAGACUAGUUACCGGUACGUGAAAAUUCCAAUAAAUUUUCAAUCGCUUAUUGUAACAUUGACUUUCAGGCAACCAUUAAAUAGUGCAAUUUUGAGUUUGCACUAAAUGUCUUGCAAAAAGUAGACGUUCUUAGAACUAGAAAUAGUGCUGCCAAAAGUCAUCAAAGUACUCGGAAUAACUUUUGUUACUCCUCGUGAUCAUUCUAACAUACAUUUGUGAAUCUGAUGAAAAGUUUGAUGCGCAACAAUACAUAAGAAACAACCUGCCAAAUGUGGUCAUGUUUGAACGUAUAAAUUAGUGAAACCUACUUGCAAAAAUUAUUUAUGCAUUUUGCAAUUGACAUUUACUGAAUUGGUGUCAGCCUUUGCCAAUUCACCUUUAAUUGUGCAUGUCUGUCUAAAGCUAAAAUAAACUUACAAUUACUUGUAUAAAUCUGACGACACACUCAUGAGAUGAACUGAUUACUGUACAUGUUGAUGCGAUAAACGGCAGGGAGAUUUCAGAGUUAUAUCGUGGAGUUAUUUAUAUAAAUGGUGGUUGAGAUAAAUGCCCUAAAAUCUUAUUGCAUUGGAAAUAUCGGAGAAAGCUGGCAAAUUGUAAUCUGUUUGUAUUGCAUUUCAUUCAAAGGGAUCAGAACCAUGAUGCAACAGUGAACAACGGAAAUGUUGAGUGAGACAAUCAUAAGUAGAUGUGAGAGAGAUCUCUACUUUGGCAAUUUUUGGAAUGAUUGUUGGUAUACAAUUUCCAUUGCAAUACUUAGUAAUUGAAAUGGUUAAUACGGCAUUGACUUUGUCAGAAAAGUAAACUGAUUGUUAAAGUUCAUAAGGAUCCUUAUCAUGUUGGAGUUAACCAAGUCAUUUGUGAUUAUUUGGACUUGCAAGUUUGGGGAGUUAGUGUGCACUAAGAUCAACUGAUCACGAGUUGAUGUAGAUAGAGGGCGACUCGCUGGACUUGUCGGUGUCUGUGGGCGGGGAACACCAUGCGUGCACGCCUCGGGGGACUUGUAUGCGUUGGGCUUUUUUUUUGGCCGGGCCAAGUUCAAGGCCAAGUUCAAAGCCAAGGUCAAGUUCAAGUUCAAGGUC